CAGGUGCUGCAUGGCUGUCGUCAGCUCGUGUCGUGAGAUGUUCGGUUAAGUCCGCUAACGAGCGCAACCCUCGCUGUGUGUUAUAUGUGUCACACGGGACUGCCGGUCUUAAGCCGGAGGAAGGUGGGGAUGAUGUCAAGUCAGCAUGGCCCUUAUAUCCUGGGCUACACACACGCUACAAUGGCCAACACAAUAGGUUGCUAAGCCGCGAGGUGGCGCCAAUCCAUAAAGUUGGUCUCAGCUCAGAUUGUAGGCUGCAACCCGCCUGCAUGAAGAUGGAGUUGCUAGUAACCGCAGGUCAGCUAUACUGCGGUGAAUACGUUCCCGGGGCUU
rnacentral:rRNA from 1 species